rnacentral:tRNA from 1 species
AGCCCCGAAGUAUUAUUAUAUCAAAUUGCAAAUUUGAAGAUGCCUAUUAAUUGUCGGCCGGGGCUU